rnacentral:rRNA from 1 species
GACGAACGCUGGCGGCGUGCCUAAUACAUGCCAGUCGAACGAACCGCGACUAAGUGCUUGCACUAAGUCAAGGUGAGUGGCGAACGGGUGAGUAACACGUGGGUAACCUACCUCAUAGUGGGGGAUAACAGUCGGAAACGACUGCUAAUACCGCAUAGGACAUAGGAUCACAUGAUCCAGUGAGGAAAGGUGGCGCAAGCUAUCGCUAAGAGAUGGACCCGCGGUGCAUUAGCUAGUUGGUAGGGUAAAGGCCUACCAAGGCGAUGAUGCAUAGCCGACCUGAGAGGGUGAUCGGCCACAUUGGGACUGAGACACGGCCCAGACUCCUACGGGAGGCAGCAGUAGGGAAUCUUCCGCAAUGGGCGAAAGUCUGACGGAGCAACGCCGCGUGAGUGAAGAAGGUCUUCGGAUCGUAAAGCUCUGUUGUUAGGGAAGAACAGCGCAUAGAGUAACUGCUAUGCGUGUGACGGUAUCUAACCAGAAAGCCACGGCUAACUACGUG